GCAGGGGUAGCCAAGCCUGGCCAACGGCGCAGGACUUAAGAUCUUAUCUAUAGAUAUAAGGGUUCGAUGAGACAUCCUGUCUCGAAGGAGUCCGAGGGUUCAAAUCCCUUCCCCUGCA
rnacentral:tRNA from 1 species